rnacentral:rRNA from 1 species
UACGAAGGUGGCAAGCGUUGUUCGGAUUUACUGGGCGUACAGGGAGCGUAGGCGGUUGGAUAAGCCCUCCGUGAAAUCUCCAGGCUUAACCUGGAAAGUGCAGAGGGGACUGUUCAGCUAGAGGAUGGGAGAGGAGCGCGGAAUUCCCGGUGUAGCGGUGAAAUGCGUAGGUAUCGGGAGGAACACCAGUGGCGAAGGCGACUUCCUGGCCUGUUCUUGACGCUGAGGCGCGAAAGCUAGGGGAGCAAACGGG